GAUGAACGCUGGCGGCGUGCCUAAUACAUGCAAGUCGAGCGAACGGACGAGAAGCUUGCUUUUCUGAUGUUAGCGGCGGACGGGUGAGUAACACGUGGAUAACCUACCUAUAAGACUGGGAUAACUUCGGGAAACCGGAGCUAAUACCGGAUAAUAUUUUGAACCGCAUGGUUCAAAAGUGAAAGACGGUCUUGCUGUCACUUAUAGAUGGAUCCGCGCUGCAUUAGCUAGUUGGUAAGGUAACGGCUUACCAAGGCAACGAUGCAUAGCCGACCUGAGAGGGUGAUCGGCCACACUGAAACUGAUACACGGUCCAGACUCCUACGGGAGGCAGCAGUAGGGAAUCUUCCGCAAUGGGCGAAAGCCUGACGGAGCAACGCCGCGUGAGUGAUGAAGGUCUUCGGAUCGUAAAACUCUGUUAUUAGGGAAGAACAUAUGUGUAAGUAACUGUGCACAUCUUGACGGUACCUAAUCAGAAAGCCACGGCUAACUACGUG
rnacentral:rRNA from 1 species